rnacentral:lncRNA from 1 species
CCGCUGACCGCCAGCAGCGGGCUCAAUCCAGAGCAGUCUGCUCGGCACCUUCUCGUUCUCCUUCGCCGUCACGGCUGCCUCGCGGGCGCGCACUGGGGGCCUGGGUUGGAGAGGGGCCUGGUGGCUACGACUGCCCUUCGCUGGUCCCGGCCACCGCCCCUCCCAUGACUCCGCAACCCCCACCUCUGCCCAAGCGUUGCAGGCGGGACGGACGAGGGCCGGGGUCGUGGCUGUGGGAGCAGGACCUGACCCAUCUCUGAGUGGAGAACCCGGAGAAGGGCAGGGCUGGCCGGCUGGGACCCUUCUUGCAGCCCCCGACGGUGCCUAUUCCGCGGACUCCCAAGUCUGCGGACCUUGCUCCCAGGAGCUGUGGGCCAGGUGGCCUCUGCAUUUGCGACCGAAGGCUGAGAGGAAGAGGAUGGCAGAUACGGCCACGUUGUGAAGAUAUGUUCCCGCACGUGCCUCUCCCCACCCCAGCGGCUCUGAGAAUGGCGUCUGAACGGGUCGAGUGGGGAGGGGGGCGCAGGUCCCCAGGCCUCUCAGUGAGGAAGCUUCCUUUUCCGGGCCUCAGGUUAUCCCACCAAACCGCGGGAUGGCCUGGGAGACCCGCCUCCCCAAACCUGCUUCCCCUUUCAGUGUGGAAGUGAGGACCCACUCUGGGUGGCCACUGCACUGUCUGUGCCGAGCUGAACCCACGAUCUUCAGUUGAACCUUUCCUCUGGCUCUGGAGUGACCCAGAAAAGACUUUCCCCGAGUCUACCCCCCUCUUCAGAGGAAACACCACCCACCUCAUAAUCUUGCAGCGACUCUUAUAAUCAUCAGAGGGCUGGCCUGGACCCCAGGCCUCUGGAAUAAAGGAACAAAGGUGUGAAAGAACAACAGAUGUGCUCACUGCAGUAUGGUCACAGUUUCCCUCCUGGCCUCUGAGAGGGCUCUGUGCAGAGGGUGACUGUACAGCAGCCUGAACACUGUCCUCCCUGAGCUGCCAGCAGCAAAUUGCUUGCCCCCACUUGUAGGAAGGAGAAUUCUGGACCUGAAGCAGUGGCCUGACAACGCCCCUACCAAGUUCCCAUUUUGCUCAGCUGUAAAUCAGGACCGUGUGUUAUCUGGGUGUGAGAGGGAGAGUGUACUUGGCCGGGCGGGACAAUGGGUGGCAUUUAGUGGCAUGUAGUCUCUCACUUGGGGCACGUGGGG